GACACGCUGCGCCAGGAGGGCUUCGACCUGGUGCUUCUCCAGGAGGUGUGGAGUGAGCAGGAUUACAGCGACCUGAAGGUGAAGCUGGGAGGCUGCUACCCCUUCUCCCAUUACUUCCGCAGCGGGGUGAUCGGCAGCGGCCUC